AAGAUAGAAGGGGUGGAGAAAGGACCCACCCCUUCCCAGAUCUCAUUUAAGGGUUGGCAGGGGAGGUAAGGAUACCUUGCUGGAGUUCCUUGCCUACCUAAGGCCUUCUGAAGGUCGAACAAGUGCAUAGUAGGUAGCUGGAUGAGCUGAUGGAGUUUCCAAUUUACUCUGCUAUUUCUGUCAGAAAGAGGACACAAAUAUGCUUACGGUGAACAAAGCGAGUCCUGCUCCCUGCCUUUCAGAGCCAUGGGGAGCAUAUUUGGGUACAGCAGACUCCCUAGGCAGCAGACAGAGGUGCAACAAAUUCCACUGGAUGGGAGCAGAGGCUGAAUCAGUUCAAGCUGGAAAUCAAGUGUGGAUUUUUGACAGUGAAGCAUUUCAGCUUGACGCAGCAACUUCUGAAUGGUGUUCCAUGAGCCUUUGUGGCUGGAAAAGAGAGGAUGAUGAAAAUGAGGCUAAAGCAAUUACACUGUAUGCUUCAGCACAAGAACGAAUCCAGCUUAUUUAAGGGCAUGCUUUGUACAACUCAUUGUAACAGUGAUAAUCAGAAGACUUCUUGCUCUCCCCAAAUGAUUGACUCACCAUGAUUCAUGAAGAGAGACAGAGACCCUUAACAGCACACCUCCAUUUGUGACUAUAGGGAUUUCUUGAGCUAUUAGAAGUGAAUCUGGUGAUGCAAACUUCUGUGACACAACUGUUUCAUCAUUCCAAUGUGGUGAAAGAAGCUUGGGUUGGACAGUUAGUAUCAUAAUUCCAUCUUUUCUUUGGCAGAAAAAUAGUAUCAGAAACAUAGGGUAGUAAUUGUUUGAAGUUAAAUGAGGAAAAAAUGCAGUUGAGAAAAGAUUUAUAUAAGAGCUUGACAUGAUGAAAGCAGUACUCUGAGGAUUAAAGGUGUGGGUGUUGUGUGGGAAUAGAAAACCUUUAUUUUAAAAUUGGUGAUGUAGUGAACUAUGAAGUCUGGGAUAAUUUUAGAUAAACUCUUAAAUUUCAUCCGAUCUUUAAAAAGCUUGCCUCCCCACAUAAAUGUGUAGCAAUGCCCUUUCUUUACAGCUGCUGAAAAAAAAUGGAAAAGUGAUGUUUUUAUGCUUGCAAUAUUGUGUGAUCAUCACUGAGAAUAUACUGCUAUUAUUUUAUUAUUAAGGAAUUUCUUGCAAAGUUACUGUUGUGUGAAAAUCUGUCUUGCAUUGCCUUUUUUUUUUUUUAAAUACUGAGCACACAUUUGGGAUGAAUAUGCUAAAAUGCACCAAAAUGAAAUUUGUUGUAUUUGACUUCUGAUAUUCAAAGGCUACAUCAGGAUUUGCAGCUUGCUUACAAACAUGCUCUUCUGUCAGUAUCAAGAUGAAAAAACUGUGAAAUACAGUUCUCUAACACUGUAACUAAUUAUUACUUAUGGUAGCAUAAAUACUUCUAUUUGUCAGUGCUACCUUGUCCAAUCAAGCUAAUAUUUUACA